rnacentral:lncRNA from 1 species
AACUGACUUUGAUUCUUCACUUCAGAUGGAAAUUAAGAUUGUGGAGAAGCCACGUCACCUGCUACUGCUCCCCCGAUUCUCUUUUGCUGGCGGCUUUGUAGUUUGGAACAACGUGCAAUGGGCCGAGGUCCCAGGGAACUCUGAGCUAGAGGUUGGAGCAUCACCAAAGAGGAGUGGAAAACUUGAUCUGGUUGCCAUGGAGACCAGCCACUGACUUCAGAGUGCCUGUUUAUUAAAGAUGAAAGUAAUGUAUGCCUGGCUGAUCUGAGCAGCUGUCAGAGAUUCGGCUGUUAGCAGAGGAAGUCACUAAUUUCGAGGCAUAAUCACUCAUCUAAGAGAGAGACGGCCCCCCUUCAUCUUCCGCGUGGAGCUGGGCUGUGUGGGUAAGGUCUGCCCCAGCAGGCGUUUCUUGUUCUUUUUUUUUUUGGUUGUUUAUUUUAUGACUAAUAUGGUAACUGUACUUCUUUUCUCCCUUAUUUCCUACUGAAAAUAUAUAGCCUUACUGUCGUGUGAUAGCUUAAUUCAGCUUCGUGGGCAGGCCCAGGAAACCCAAACCCUCUCAUGACGUUGUUUCCUUUGGAAAAUGUAUUCUGGAUUCCAAGCCACCUACUUACAAAUGAGGUUGUCUGUUUAUUCAUUCAACAGUCUCCCCCAGGUGCACGAGAGGAAAAGAGGUGGGGCCGAGCCCCGCAGAGAGCAGACUUGAUGCUUUCGCGUGCGCUUCGACAGACACUUAAGUGUGGGCUUCCGUGA